CGGCAUAAUAAAAGACCUUUUAUGCUUUACUCAAAGUUAACAAAUGUUCUUACAACCCCAAUAUAUUAUCGUUACUGUAUCUUACGCUUUUAUAUCUGACAAAACUGCAGUCUCGGUCAGGCUGCAUCAAACCACCUUCCAGCAGCAAGAAUGCAUGCACUGACAGAGUUCGAGAAGAACAGGAGGAGAAAAGAAACGCUCCGGAAUGUGAAGAGGCAAGCUGAGCCAUUGGAACAGCGACUCCGAGACCAUACUCCAUGGAAAGCAAGAUGAUCCUGUGACGCUGGGCUCCCCUUACUUCCAGAGGGUUAACAAACCUUUGUGUCACCAGUACCAGCUCUGAUCAUCAGCCCUGGUCAGACCACGUAACAGACCACUGCCGUGAAGUGAGCCGCAGCCUGUAUGACACUGCAAAUUGAAGAGUUGUAAAAUAAAGACUAACAACCAGUCAGAAGUUGAUUACAUCACACAGCUGUUAAAGUUACAUUUAUAUCUUUAACCAUAUGGUAGUCAAACAUGGUCAAACAUCUAAUUCUUGAGAAGAACUGCCACACUUCCCUAAUAAAUUGGGUAAAAAUCCAUCAGGAAACUCAGAUGCCUUCAACUACAUAUGCUGAUUAGCCCCAGCACCAUUACACAAUAUGACCACAUUCUUCUUCGUAGUUAGUUCAAAGUAUCAUAAGUUUCCUGAAAGUCAGUAAGGAGGCCUAGCUAUGAUGAAAGCUGCCCUAAAAAGUGUUUUUUAUUUCAAACUGCUUUCACUUGAAACGUUGACACUCUUCACCAUGACAGCACAGCAAUAAAGGUUUUGUUAAGCCUCCUUCACCAUGUUAAAUAAUAACUGAACAGUAUGCUAAUUUACUUUCCUCUAGUGAACUGUCUGCAUUCCCUUCCGAUUUCCUGUAGCUACAAAUAUGAUAAUCAGGAGAACAAAGACUCUAGUACAGCCAUUCAGGAACCAGCAAACGAAAUGAAGUAUGUCUGAUUCCGUAACAUGCAAGAAAGACCUGCAGCCCAGUUUGCUCCAUGCACUGCAAUCCCGUGUAAGCACAUGUUUAAAAAGGAUAAUGAA